AGAGACAGCAGCAGCCGCGGUAAUACGAAGGGGGCUAGCGUUGUUCGGAUUUACUGGGCGUAAAGCGCACGUAGGCGGACUUUUAAGUCAGGGGUGAAAUCCCGGGGCUCAACCCCGGAACUGCCUUUGAUACUGGAAGUCUUGAGUAUGGUAGAGGUGAGUGGAAUUCCGAGUGUAGAGGUGAAAUUCGUAGAUAUUCGGAGGAACACCAGUGGCGAAGGCGGCUCACUGGACCAUUACUGACGCUGAGGUGCGAAAGCGUGGGGAGCAAACAGGAUUAGAUACCCCCGUAGUCCCUGUCUCUUAUAC
rnacentral:rRNA from 1 species